rnacentral:rRNA from 1 species
AGAGUUUGAUCAUGGCUCAGAUUGAACGCUGGCGGCAUGCUUUACACAUGCAAGUCGAGCGGCAGCGCGGGGGCAACCCUGGCGGCGAGCGGCGGACGGGUGAGUAAUGCAUCGGAACGUAUCCCGUAGUGGGGGACAACCCAGCGAAAGCUGGGCUAAUACCGCAUAUGCUCUACGGAGGAAAGUGGGGGACCCGCAAGGGCCUCACGCUAUGGGAGCGGCCGAUGUCCGAUUAGCUAGUUGGUGGGGUAAAGGCCUACCAAGGCGACGAUCGGUAGCUGGUCUGAGAGGAUGAUCAGCCACACUGGGACUGAGACACGGCCCAGACUCCUACGGGAGGCAGCAGUGGGGAAUUUGGACAAUGGGGGCAACCCUGAUCCAGCCAUGCCGCGUGCGGGAAGAAGGCCUUCGGGUUGUAAACCGCUUUUGUUCGGGAAGAAAAGGCACGUCCUAAUACGGCGUGUUCUUGACGGUACCGGAAGAAUAAGCACCGGCUAACUACGUG